UAAGCAGCCUCAGGAAAGGCAGAAGCCCCAAGCUUGCCCAACUGGGCAGAGGGAUCCUCCUCCUGGCAUCACAGGCCAAACUGAGUCAUUUCUGCUGCUGUUCCAGCUCCUGCCAUGAUCAGAGCCUGUUCCUGCUGACCUCGCUCCUUAGCCUCACUGCUCCUUCAAAGUUUCCUCUCUUAUAGUCAAACUCAUACAAGCAAUUUAGUUGUGCUCCUGUGCUGCUUUCACAGAGUGUUUUGGGUUGGAAAAGACCUUAAAGAUCAUCCAGUUCUAACCCCCUGCCACGGGCAUGGACACCUCCUGCUGCCUCAGAUUGCUCAGGGUCUCAUCCAACCUGGAUUUGAAUACUGCCAAGCUUGGAGCCUCCACAACUAAUCUGAGCAGCCCAUUCCAGUGCUUCACCACCCUCAUGGAGAAGAAUUUCUUCCUAAUGUCUCAUCUCAAUCCAGCUUCUUCCAGCUGGAGGCCAUCACUCCUCAUCCUGUCCCUCCCCAGCUCUCUUGGAGCCCCCUUCAAAUACUAGAAGGCUGCCCUAAGAUUUCCUCUUGCAGCAUUGGUGUUCACCAUGGAGCUGUGGUGCUGAAGGACAGAGGAGCAGCACCAUGGCACUUGCCCUGCUGAGCUGUGGUGCUGAAGGGCAGAGGAGCAGCACCAUGGCACUUCCCCUGGUGAAGGAUGGGAGAGCAGCACCAUGGCGCUCUGCUGCUGGUACCUCAUCUGCCUGCAUCCCAUCUGCCCACACACUGCCUGCAUCCUAUCUGCCUGCAUCCCAUCUGCCCACACUCUGCCUGCACCCCAUCUGCUGCACCCCAUCUGCCCACCCUCUGCCUGCACCCCAUCUGCCCACCCUCUGCCUGCACCCCAUCUGCUGCACCUCAUCUGCUUCACCUUAUUCGCCCACACUCUGCCUGCACUCCAUCAGCCUACGUCCUGCCUGCACCCUGCACCAGCUCUUCCUGCACCCUGCCUGCCUGUCUCCUCCCAGCCCAUUGCGGUGCUCACUGUUAUGCAAAUCGACACUCCUGUUAUCUAAAAUUGUUAUCUCCCCUUCUCCGCGGUCCCGGGACCUCAUUUGCUGCUGACAAUGCUCCAAAGAAAAGCCAAACGCAGCCUUUUGUGGAGAUUAGAGAAGUGGCGACCAGGGCUGUGUUCUGUUCUGCAGCAGCUGGGGUGGGAGAGGAGGUGGCAUCAGCCUCUGAACUCAGGUAGCUUCUUGUUCUCCUGCCCUUGUGUCAAACUCCGCAAUGGAACACUGGAAGGCAGUUUUGCUAAGCUGAUGUGGCCACCUCAGAGACAAUCACAGAGUUGUUUGGGUUGGAAAAGCCUUCUGAGAUCAUCACAUCCAACCAUCAACCUACCCCCACCGUGGCCAUCAAACCAUGUCCCCAAGUGCCGUGGCCAUAGGCUGCUUGAACACCUCCCAGCAUGGGGACUCCACUGCCUCCCUGAGCAGCCUCUUCCAGUCUCUGACUGCUCUUUCAGUUCCCUCACCUCCGACCUAACCCUCCCCUUGGCUUCCUU